AGAUGAAGAAUGGAUAAUCCCAAGAAAAUGGAAAAGAAAACUUCACCACUGAUUACUGAGUUAAAAAGCAACAUGAAGUUCAAACCAGAGGGACAUAGGGGUUCAAAAAUACGAGCCGGAGGGACACGGGACUUCAUCAUUCAAAUACGACUGUAGGGAUAAACGAAAACUGUUUCUCAUAUAUAACUUUUGGAUUAUCUAUUCAUAUAUAACUUUUUUGGGAUGUUCUAUUCAUAUAUAAUCUUUUUUGGGCAUAAUUUAUUCAUAUAUAUAAAACUAUUUUGGGAUGUUCUAUUCAUAUAUUGCCUCUUCUUUGAAAUCUUUAUUAAUAUUUGCUAUGUAUUAUUUUCUCAUUACAUUUUUAUUUUUAUUUGAAACAUUGGGGUUGGUUUGUGUCCUGUUUCAUUUUAAUACAGUAUAUUUCCUCAUUGAGUUUAAAUUAUUAAUAUCGUUUACAUGUAUAUGGAAAUGUUUGUCAAACUAAUUGGGGAUACAUUGUAGGUAUCUG
rnacentral:lncRNA from 1 species